CACGUAGGAUCCGAGCGUUAUCCGAAUUUACUGGGCGUAAAGCGCGUGCAGGCUGUUUGGAAAGUUGGAUGUGAAAGCUCCUGGCUCAACUAGGAGAGGCCGUUCAAAACUACCAGACUUGAGGACAGUAGAGGGAGAUGGAAUUUCCGGUGUAGUAGUGAAAUGCGUAGAUAUCGGAAGGAACACCAGUGGCGAAGGCGGUCUCCUAGACUGUUUCUGACGCUAAGAUGCGAAAGCUAGGGUAGCGAAUGGG
rnacentral:rRNA from 1 species